GGCGGGCCGAGGCGCGGCUCUCACGGCUGGCGGCGGUGAAGAUGGCAGAUUUUUUGAAAGGACUACCAGUCUACAACAAAAGCAACUUCAGCAGAUUCCAUGCGGAUUCCGUAUGUAAAGCAUCAAAUAGGAGACCAUCAGUAUAUCUUCCCACGAGGGAAUAUCCAUCUGAACAAAUCAUAGUAACAGAAAAGACAAAUAUCCUCUUGCGCUAUUUACAUCAGCAGUGGGACAAAAAGAAUGCAGCAAAGAAGAGAGAUCAAGAGCAGGUGGAAAUAGAAGGUGAGAACUCAGCACCACCCCGGAAAAUCGCUCGGACAGACAGCCAGGACAUGAACGAGGACACUUAAACUCUUGGCUUCCUCCUCUCCUACUUUGCAGGCGCUUCCUGUUUUGUCUCCAAGUGUGUAAAUUUGCCCCUUGCCCCCAUCUCUCCCCCCUCCACUGCGUAGCCCAAACCACUUUUGACUUCCCAGGAGCCAACAUAUUUAUUUUUUCUCUUUGUUUUUUUUUUUUUUUCUUCCCUCUCCAUUUUUUUAUUUAUGCCAUAAACCUGACGGAGCAGUGGUGGAACAAUGGAGUAAAUGAUGUAGUAGAACCUUAGUUCCUCCUUUUGCAAACACUGUCACUUGGGCAGGUUUUGAAUCUGUUACCUAUUGCCCAGGUCUGGCUGUGGGAGCCUGGGUAGGAGACAUGGGUUAUCACAGAACCCUCCAGAGAUACACGCUCUCUACGUACCCACUGACGUACUACAGGUGGUUUAACUCCUCUUUGGAUGUGCCCAGGCCAGCCAUAAGUGUGGGGCCUCACCAUUUUUCCUCCAAUAUUCUGAAACUGGCACUGCACUAAAACAAAACCCAACCAACCUACAUGAGUGUCCUUCAGGGUUAUGUUGAUCUUAGCAAAUGUGUUGUCAACUUGAUCUCUCGGUUGUAUUCUUCUGGUCUGUUGUGUAAGGGCCGCGCUCCUCCGGCGGCACGCGUUAUCUCAUGCAUCAGUGCUCAUGGAGAACUCAAGUGAAAGGUGUGUGGCUUUUGUUGCUCUGACAUUCUAACCUUCUCUUGGUCUUGAACGGACUGAUCUGUGCGACUUCUCCAGUGGAGUCAAAGGAUGCUCUUCUCCUGUGCUGAGUAGUUGAUCACCAGUGUGCGGAAGCAGCGGCGGAUGGAGCAGCGUGGGAUACGCACCCCACAGGCAGCCCGUGGCUGGAGAAGUCUGGGAGCACCUCAGCAACUGCAUCUAGUUCUGGCUCAGCUGCCAGCUCCGAAUAAUGGUACGUUGUGUUGUGCUGCAGUAGCAGAAUGGAGUUGAUGAAAACAUGAGCUUCCAUGGUCUCUGGUGAAGACCAAUCUCUCUUGGACUGUGACAGUUCAGUGCCUGUUGCCUGGAACCCUUCACUGACUCUUCGAGAAGAGCCAAACCGGAGGCCCAUAAGUCAUCUGCGUGGAUUCAGAGGUUGAGAGACUCAAAGGAAACGAGCAUUGUCACCUGAAGGGGACAGGAAAGGUGUAGCUUAGUAAUGAUGUCUUGUCUGCUUUAACGUAAGAAGCUGACUUCACACUGUGUUAGUUGAAAUUGUUGCAUUUAUAGCUGUGGGGGUUGUUUUCUUCCUCGUUGACAAAUCCUAAACACCAUGAAAUCACAGGAAUGUUGUUCUGGAGAUCCUGGACAAGCCUCAUUCCGAGCGGCUGCAGCAGGUGGAAGCUUUGAGGGGUUCUGCUCUCCCUCUCUCCGUGGCAUUCCCAUCCAACCCAGGGACACCAGGUUUGGGAACGAAGGGAACACGGAGGGAGAAAAACUUGCUGCCGACCAUAGGUUGCGAGGCAGACCCUUAGGAAGAGCAGGGCACAGCUCACAUUGCAAUUCCAAAUGUACCUUUAGGCACCGGGUUUCUGAUGCAGUGAGUGAAUUUAACUUAACACCAAGUAGUUUAGAACUUUGUAUCUGCCUCAAAAAAAACCCAACCAACCUUUUUGCUAUGGCAGUAACCUCCAAAUUACUGGAAUGCCGUUGAAGAUGCCAACCAUGUUGGUGAAGAUAAAAUACACUUGGGUUUCCCUGUGAUUUACUGGUGAUGGCAAGAGGACUCCACGCUGUCAGCAAGUGCUUUUGUGCACAGUGAAAGAUGUUGAAGAUCAUCGUGGGGUGAAGCUGAAGCUGAAGAACCCUUUGAAGAGAUACCAGAGGAGAAAACGGAUGUGCAGCUGGUGGUAAAGUGUGACCAAUCUGUGUGUAGCAAAGCUGGAGAGCUGCAGCCUUGCAGCAAUGUCUGUACAGUGCUUUCAAGUUGUAAAAUGCUGUAUAAUUCUUGGUGGAUCCGGCAAGGUUUGAGCUUUGCUGACUAUUCUGCUAGCCAGAGUGAUGUACUAUUAAAGAGAGUUGGCAGUUCCUUCCUGUUGUAAACCCCCGUCUUUGUUCCCUCCGUGUCCUUUACAACUGAUCGUGGUGGUUAUGGGAACCUUUGCCAAUGUUUCAGUGGUUUGAGGAGGUAAAAGAAAGUUGCCUUUUUCAAGCAGUUGGGAAGCACUGGAGGAAGAAGGCUUCAGAGCACUGUUAAGCGUCCAACUGGUUGGGUGUUGGUUUUGUUGCAUCGGUGGCUGUGUACAAGCAGUGUGGAUUUCUGAUCCCUGCACUGAGGCUCUCUCCAUCCAGCCUGAAGCCAGAGCUCCCUCCCUUCCUCCUCCACCUCCUCCAGGCUGCUGCUGGCUCCAGUGCUGUCCUCCAGCUCUUGCACUUUGAUCCUAUAUUCCCGUCUGUUUAGUACGUGGUAAGUGUCUCGGGUUUGAAUGUUGCAUGGAAGAUCUCAUUUGCCUAAUUGUGACUUCCUGGUGCCUUAGUGCAUUGAAACCAACACCAACAAAUGUUGACAAACCCAAACCCUGGGGGUUUGCUGACCACACUGUGUGUACAAUACCGAGCUCCUCUGAUUCCAACUCUUGUUAUAAAGUGACUGAGAUUUAGCCACCCUCAGGGGGUUUUGUAUCUGUCUGCAUAGUGGUAUUUUUAUUGUUUCUGUUACCAAUGUAUACUAAAGGUUUGGGUUUUUAAAUGAAAACUUGAGAUACUUGUCAGCAA
ensembl:lncRNA